AGAGUUUGAUUAUGGCUCAGNAUNNACGCUGGCGGCGCGCUUAACACAUGCAAGUCGCACGAGAAAGCAGGAGCAAUCCUGUGAGUACAGUGGCGUACGGGUGAGUAACACGUGGGUAAUCUACCUCUUAGUGGGGAAUAACGCUGGGAAACCGGCGCUAAUACCGCAUAAGCUCGAGAGAGGAAAGCAGCAAUGCGCUGAGAGAGGAGCCCGCGGCCGAUUAGCUAGUUGGGAGGGUAAAAGCCUACCAAGGCAUAGAUCGGUAGCCGGCCUGAGAGGGCACACGGCCACACUGGCACUGAAACACGGGCCAGACUCCUACGGGAGGCAGCAGUGGGGAAUCCUGCACAAUGGGGGCAACCCUGAUGCAGCGACGCCGCGUGAGCGAUGAAGCCCUUCGGGGUGUAAAGCUCUUUCGUCAGGGACGAUAAUGACGGUACCUGGAGAAGCAGCUGCGGCUAACUACGUGCCAGCAGCCGCGGUAAUACGUAGGCAGCGAGCGUUGUUCGGAGUUACUGGGCGUAAAGGGUGUGUAGGCGGUCUUCUAAGUUUGGUGUGAAAUCUCCCGGCUCAACCGGGAGGGUGCGCCGAAAACUGGGAGACUAGAGUGCGGGAUGGGAGAGUAGAAUUCCUGGUGUAGCGGUGAAAUGCGUAGAUAUCAGGAGGAAUACCGGUGGUGUAGACGGCUCUCUGGACCGCCACUGACGCUGAGACACGAAAGCGUGGGUAGCAAACAGGANNAGAUACCCUGGUAGUCCACGCCCUAAACGAUGCAUAUUUGGUGUAGGUCAUUC
rnacentral:rRNA from 1 species